AGUGGCGAACGGGUGAGUAAUACAUCGGAACGUGUCUUAAAGUGGGGGAUAACGCAUCGAAAGAUGUGCUAAUACCGCAUAAUCUCUGAGGAGGAAAGCAGGGGAUCGAAAGACCUUGUGCUUUUAGAGCGGCCGAUGCCUGAUUAGCUAGUUGGUAAGGUAAAGGCUUACCAAGGCAACGAUCAGUAGCUGGUCUGAGAGGACGACCAGCCACACUGGGACUGAGACACGGCCCAGACUCCUACGGGAGGCAGCAGUGGGGAAUUUUGGACAAUGGGCGCAAACNUGAUCCAGCCAUGCCGCGUGAGUGAAGAAGGCCUUCGGGUUGUAAAGCUCUUUC
rnacentral:rRNA from 1 species